AAUACAUAGGGUGCAAGCGUUGUCCGGAAUUAUUGGGCGUAAAGAGCUCGUAGGUCGUUUGUUACGUCGGAUGUGAAAACCUGAGGCUCAACCUCAGGCCUGCAUUCGAUACGGGCAAACUAGAGUUUGGUAGGGGAGACUGGAAUUCCUGGUGUAGCGGUGGAAUGCGCAGAUAUCAAGAGGAACACCAAUGGCGAAGGC
rnacentral:rRNA from 1 species